CUAUCGCAACGCAAGAAAAAGAAACGUUUGGUGACGUUUGGGAGUGUUCUCGAAGAGUGUUUCGGCACUGCAGAGCAGUAAUCAACUUUGAAUAUUACUUAAAAAUAGUGAACAAAUCCUACUGAAACGGUUAAAUUAUAAGGAUUAAAAAAGUUGAACCAAGUCCAACGUGUUUAACCGGGCAGGCAUUUCUACAUCCACGUUCUGCAAUAAACAAGUGAAAAUUUAAAUCACAUACCUAGUGUGCCAGUGCAUUAGUGUCUGUGUUUCUGUUUGUGUGUGUUUGCGUAAGCCGAAGGAUAGCUUAAUUGUGUUGCAUCUCAUUCAGCAGCGCUAGUGAAUCGACAAAAGGCGGUCACGUUUGGGUGGUGGAGAAAACUCCUUUCUCUUGUACACCUGGCAAGCAGCAAUCCUUUUCCUAGCGAAAAACAAAGUCCAGGACGCUCUUCCGUGCGAAUCGGUCUUCAAUCUUUCCUUUGCAAAGCAUUUCGUUGCAUCUACAUAACCCAUAAGGUAAGUGCAGUGCUAACCGAACCUCACAUUACGAUCCACGUGAUGUUUAUGAAUGGGAGAUGGCACAUGUAGCCCGGGCGAUUAAUACACCGCGCCUGCAAUCAUUUUGCAAUGUUCAAUUCCGUAUGCUAAUUAGAUUUGACAUCUUAUUGGAAAAAAGGCCGAUGGUUGUGGUGUGGUGCGCGCAACCUAACCGCACUCAACAGUCACCCAUUAAUCUACGGGCUUGAAUGAGAGCAGUGGCGGCAUGAAUGGACCGGAGCCAAGCUGCCGUCGAUUGAGAACGGAAAUGAUACAUCAACAUGAGCUGCUGAGGGCAUUUUCUGUCCAACAGUCCAGUGCGAUUUGCCAAAUUUAAUUAACUUUGAGCGUUGGCGUGGAUGGGACGAUCGCAAGUGACAUUGAUCUGUUGGAAAAACACAGUUUCGAAACUAGUCUGCUUUUUUAUCUCGCCACCAAGCAAUAGUUAUGCUCAGCUUCUGUAAUGUUUUCCGAGCUCUCGCACACUCUCCCGGGUUUUCUCCCGCACAGGGCAUAGAUUGAUGUAAAUAAUCUGUUUUUACUCGGCCGCAGUCUAAACAGACCGGACAGUUACAGCUUCACCAACCUUUAUGAUCGUACGCGUGAGUCCGAGAUCGGAAACUGGGUCAACUCAAGUGAUUCACCAUCGUUCCGCGAACCUGUUGAGUAAGCGAUCAACAUCGGAAUCGAUUGUGGAUUCCAUUUGGAAAUGCUUUCCCAAUGUCUCUCCGAAGCCCGGAGCCGCGUUACAUUUGAAGAAAAAAUCAAUCCUUUGAGACACCCGGACCCGGAAUAUUCAUCUUUGCGCGAUACCUUACGCAAGAAAUGGAGAUCACUUCUGAAGAUGUUUUUUUUUUUGUUCGGCUCUCUCCGCUUCUUUUGCGUCACACUGACGCAAGUUUAGCAAAUAAACAUUAAAAAAAGGGAAAUCAUAUGUAAACUCAUCCCGCACGUCACGGUUAAUGGCAUGCUGCUCCGUCCUAAAGUAAUGCUGCCUUUCGAACCAUCAAGAAU